rnacentral:rRNA from 1 species
CGGGUGCACUGAUCCGGCCGGGCCUUUCCCUCUGUGGAACCCCCAUGGCCUUCACUGGCUGUGCGGGGGAAACAGGACUUUUACUGUGAAAAAAUUAGAGUGCUCCAGGCAGGCCUAUGCUCGAAUACAUUAGCAUGGAAUAAUAGAAUAGGACGCGUGGUUCUAUUUUGUUGGUUUCUAGGACCGCCGUAAUGAUUAAUAGGGACAGUCGGGGGCAUCAGUAUUCAAUUGUCAGAGGUGAAAUUCUUGGAUCUAUUGAAGACUAACUACUGCGAAAGCAUUUGUCAAGGAUGUUUUCAUUGAUAAGGAACGAAAGUUAGGGGAUCGAAGACGAUCAGAUACCGUCGUAGUCUUAACUAUAAACUAUGCCGACUAGGGAUCGGACGAUGUUAUUUCUUGACGCGUUCGGCACCUUUCGAGAAAUCAAAGUGCUUGGGCUCCAGGGGGAGUAUGGUCGCAAGGCUGAAACUUAAAGAAAUUGACGGAAGGGCACCACCAGGGGUGGAACCUGCGGCUUAAUUUGACUCAACACGGGGAAACUCACCAGGUCCAGACACAGUGAGGAUUGACAGAUUGAGAGCUCUUUCUUGAUUCUGUGGGUGGUGGUGCAUGGCCGUUCUUAGUUGGUGGAGUGAUUUGUCUGCUUAAUUGCGAUAACGAACGAGACCUUAACCUGCUAAAUAGCCCGUACUGCUCUGGCAGUUCGCCGGCUUCUUAGAGGGACUAUCGG